GGCUAGAGGAUGGAGAAUGAGGACUGCGAGACAGCGGUCACUGCUCUGUGGCCCUGAGUGGAUGGCAGCGCCCCAUGUGUGAGGUUUAACUUCCUCAAUGCUCCGGAAGUUUAGGAAGGCUGCAGCUUGUUAAAUGACUCUCCCGUGGUUGCUGAGCUGAGCACGCACUGAAGCCAUGAAAAGUGGAGUUUAAUGAAUUCGAACUCAGGAGCACAGCUGUUCCUUGUUAUCAAGAAUCAUGGAUGGUCCAGUGAUCUGCCCAGAUUGGCUCAUAUAAGCAAGUCCUUCUCUUGGGUCCCACUGAAGUUCACAUUCCCAGCUGAGAUUCCAAGAGUGAAGAUAGUCAUCCUACCUCUUUCUCAGACUUUGGGUCAGACGCCACGGUGAAAAACAAAACAAGCCUUGGGGAAAUGGGCUUCAUUUUUCUGGACAUCACUGAAGAGGCAGUUCCACUUCAUUUAGAAACAACAGCAUGAAAACAGAUGUAGACAGAUCACACGGACAGCCUCGAGAGGUGGCCAGCAUCACAGGAAGAGACGGAAAAGCUCUAGAGCCGCCGGGAACUGCAAAGGCACCGUUGCUAGGGACCAUUUAUCUCCACAAUCCCAGGCUUCAUCAUUGCAAAAUAAACAUUAGUUAGUGCUCUGUAAUUUAUCACUCCUAUUUAAGGAUGUAGGAAAGUGUGUGUGGAAAUUGUAGGAAGCUUAAUAAAAAGUUAUGUUUUUUGAGAGAAA